rnacentral:rRNA from 1 species
ACCCAGCCAUAUCACCCUGCAGCCCAAGACUGGUUGCCCACUGAAGCUAAGCAGGGUUGAGCCUGGUCAGUACCUGGACGGGAGACCUCCUGGGAAAACUAGGUUGCUGUUGGAA